ACUUCCCCUAGCCGGAACGAAAAGUAGGUUUGGUAUCCCAGGUACUGAAAUGCUUUUGGCUUUGUGGUGGUGAUGUUGUGUUUGCAAAUGGUCUGGUAUGCCAGACAUAGUAGCUAAGCUACUGCUUUUUUUCACUUCCUGUACAUUUACCCUGUCUGUCCAUAGUGAUUUUAUGCAGCACCGUUAUUUUGGCGGUGCUUUUUUUU
rfam:Yersinia pestis biovar Microtus str. 91001, complete genome.